rnacentral:rRNA from 1 species
GGGGGGGGGGGGGGGGGGGGCGGGGGGGGGGGGGGGGGGGGGGGGGGGGGGGGGGGGGGGGGGGGGGGGUUGGGGGCGGGGGGGUGAGUAGCACGUGGGUGGCGGAGCUGUAGGGCUGGGGUCACUUCGGGGCCCCGGAGCUAGUACCGGAUAAUGUUGUGCACCGCAUGGUUCAGCGGUGGGCGACGGUCUUGCUGUCACUUCUAGGUGGAUCCGCGCUGCAUUAGCUAGUUGGUAAGGUAACGGCUUACCAAGGCAACGAUGCAUAGCCGACCUGAGCGGGUGAUCGGCCAACCGGGAACUGAGACACGGACCAGACUACUACGGGAGGCAGCAGUAGGGAAUCUUCCGCAAUGGGCGAAAGCCUGACGGAGCAACGCCGCGGGAGUGAUGAAGGUCUUCGGAUCGUAAAACUCUGUUAUUAGGGAAGAACAUAUGUGUAAGUAACUGUGCACAUCUUGACGGUACCUAAGCAGAAAGCCACGGCUAACUACGUG